ACUGCCCCUAUUGGCCUUAAAGAUGUGGCUGCUGUGUCACAUGUGUCGGCAGGUGGCAGAGAGGAGAGGAGUCAUGUCUAUACUCACCUCAGCAUUCUGCCUCGUGAACCCCUAAAUAAUUAGUAGCCUAACAAU